UACGUAGGCAGCGAGCGUUGUUCGGAGUUACUGGGCGUAAAGGGUGUGUAGGCGGUUCUUUAAGUUUGGCGUGAAAUCUCCCGGCUCAACUGGGAGGGUGCGCCGAAUACUGAGGGACUAGAGUACGGGAGAGGAAAGUGGAAUUCCUGGUGUAGCGGUGAAAUGCGUAGAUAUCAGGAGGAACACCGGUGGUGUAGACGGCUUUCUGGACCGUAACUGACGCUGAGACACGAAAGCGUGGGUAGCGAACAGG
rnacentral:rRNA from 1 species